UGUAGGUAAGACGCCAUCUAAAUUUCCCUGCGUGAUUGGACAUCCUAUUCAGAUUUAUUGGACAAUCAUGGCACAUACUGUCUCUGAGGUCAGUGAACUUGUCACGAAGUGCAAUCAAUUGUCAAAGGAAGUCUUACAGCUACGACAGGAACAGGAAAAUCAUGGUACAGAGAUACAAAGGCGCGACGCACAAAUAUCGGAGCUGAAAGGGAGGAUUCAACUUCUUGAGAGAGGAGCGUCUUCAAUCGUUGACUCGGAGAGUCGGCUAACCCUUGAAAGAGACAGCCUUCUUGCUGCCAACCAUAAUCAAAGUCUGGAACUGAACGACAGGAUGACGAAAAUACGCCAACUAGAGGCUGGAUUAAAGAAAAUCCGUCUCAAUGAUGACAAAGUAAAAGGUCAACUGACGUCACUGAGAUCUAAGGUCACCGCUGCUAAUGAACGUGUCCGACAUUUGGAGACUGAAAAUGCUCAGUUGAAAGCUGAUUUGAACGUUGCUAGACAGGGACAAGAGCCCACUACGUUUACUUCAUAUCAUCUCCCUCAGCUCGAAGAAGAAGAUGAUGUAGGCAUUUGGCAUACUGCUCGUGCAGCUAGUAACCGCCGUGAAUCAAUAAGACAGGUGGCAGAGCAAGGAGCGGAGGCUUUGAAAAGUGUUGAAUUCUUAAACGUGGUGAUAGAUAAAGACUUUGAAUUUAUGAUGCGUUAUGAUCCAGAGAUGACAAUUGCAGCUUUAAAACGUCAAGUUCGAAAAAUGUUUGAAAAACUAUUGAACUUUUGGUUUUUAAAAUAUGAUGAUAGAAGAAUCAGGACUUCACAAAACGACACCAAAACACUUGCAGAGGUUGGGAUCCGACCUAACACAACGCUUCGCUUAGUUGAAAGUUCAGGUUGUAAUUUGUUAUAAACUGACGGUAUAAUCCAUCAUUAAAUUUGACCAGGUAAAAUUAACGCAAGUGUUUAAGACACCGGGAAGCUGGAUCACAUCUAACGCAAUAAUCCACCGAGUGAGCAUCCCGAAUAUUCAACGAUCUCCAGCUCCAGAUGCCUCUUGUUACGAUGUAUUAACUGAUGCGUACGGCAAUUUGUCAUUUUAAGUUGACUAUCUUAAAUUGAUACAGGGAAAUAAGACUAAAUGUUUUAAGACAAAAGCAGUGGUUAUAAAAGAAAGUUGAAGAUGAACAGCAUA